rnacentral:rRNA from 1 species
CGGGUGGCAGCAGCAGUGAGGAAUAUUGCACAAUGGGGGGAACCCUGAUGCAGCAACGCCGCGUGGAGGAUGACGCAUUUCGGUGUGUAAACUCCUUUUAUAUGUCAAGAAAAUGACGGUAGCAUAUGAAUAAGCACCGGCUAACUCCGUGCCAGCAGCCGCGGUAAUACGGAGGGUGCAAGCGUUACUCGGAAUCACUGGGCGUAAAGGACGCGUAGGCGGGUUGGAAAGUCAGGUGUGAAAUCCUACAGCUUAACUGUAGAACUGCACUUGAAACUUCUAAUCUAGAGUAUGGGAGGGGGAGAUGGAAUUAGUGGUGUAGGGGUAGAGUCCGUAGAUAUCACUAGGAAUACCUAAAGCGAAGGCGAUCUCCUGGAACAUUACUGACGCUAAGGCGUGAAAGCGUGGGGAGCAAACAGGAUUAGAUACCCCAGUAGUC